GUGGGGAAUAUUGGACAAUGGGCGAAAGCCUGAUCCAGCCAUGCCGCGUGUGUGAAGAAGGUCUUCGGAUUGUAAAGCACUUUAAGUUGGGAGGAAGGGCAGUAAGUUAAUACCUUGCUGUUUUGACGUUACCGACAGAAUAAGCACCGGCUAACUUCGUGCCAGCAGCCGCGGUAAUACGAAGGGUGCAAGCGUUAAUCGGAAUUACUGGGCGUAAAGCGCGCGUAGGUGGUUUUGUAAGUUGGAGGUGAAAUCCCCGGGCUCAACCUGGGAACUGCCUCCAAAACUGCAUGACUAGAGUACGGGAGAGGGUAGUGGAAUUUCCUGUGUAGCGGUGAAAUGCGUAGAUAUAGGAAGGAACACCAGUGGCGAAGGCGACUACCUGGACUGAUACUGACACUGAGGUGCGAAAGCGUGGGGAGCAAACAGGAUUAGAAACCCGAGUAGUCC
rnacentral:rRNA from 1 species